rnacentral:lncRNA from 10 species
UAUUUUUAUUUUAUUUAUUUAUUUAUUUUUUGAGACAGUCUCACACUGUCGCCCGGGCUGGAGUGCAGUGGCGCGAUCUCGCUCACUGCAACCUCUGCCUCCUGGGUUCAGUAUCUCAUUAAAUUCUCACCUAACCACACAGAGUGGAUAUUCAUGUUCUAUACUGAGCCUAGUAAACUACCAUUUAAAGAAAGUAAGAAGCAAGGCGCCUGUAAUCCCAGCUACUUGGGAGGCUGAGGCAGGAGAAUGGCGUGACCUGGGAGGCGGAGCUUGCAGUGAUCAGAGAUCGAGCCACUGCACUCCAGCCUGGGCGACAAAGUGGCCUUUAAUCCCAGCACUUUGGGAGGCCUAGGCGGGCGGAUCACCUGAGAUCAGGAGUUUGAGACCAGCCUAACCAAC